AGCCAUGUAGUGUAUAUGAUCUGUUUUCAAAUUUUUUUUUGACUUAUGUAAAUCUGGGCUGAAAGCAAUUAGUUUUAGCUUGCAUAAAUCAAGGUUAUGAAAUGCAUUUCUCAUGCUGAAACCUUCAGUUCCUGAACUGAAAAAUUGAAAAAGUGGAAAGUUGUUCGCAAAAAUGAUAGUCCGUGCCAUAAAAUUAAUAUCAAGCCACAGUAUCUACUGUUAUUUAUUAAUUUAUUUUUAAAACAGAAUACUGAUAGCUUGUUUUUGUUGCAAGUGUUAGAUAAAUAAAUUGAUAUAAAUUAUUCAUCAACCAAUAAAUGACACGCUUUUCAUGAUAUAAACAAUCUGACCAAGAGAAAGGAACUGAAAGUGUUUCUAUUUAAAAAAAUAAUGUCCAAAUAGAAACAAAAUUACAGCUGCUCUUUAAAACCUCCAACAUUUAUUUAAGGUUCAGUUAAGCCUUUGGCAAAACUACAAUACAAACUACAGCUGUGACAGUAAGUGAGAUUCACUAUUAAUUCUAUUAAACUCCUGCAUCGUUUAUUCUGGAAACUACAAACACAAAAUGUUUUGUUUGCUUGCAGCCAGAACAAAAUAGAAAAAAAAAUGAUUGGAGUUGUAUAAACAUUUGUAUUUCCACACUAAUAAUAAAUACCGUGUCAAGAGUUACAGGGAUAAGGCAGGAAAAUGGGAUUGCGAAACUUAUCAGCCAGGAUUGAGUGGCAAAGCUGACUCAAUGGGGAAAAAUCCUCUAAUUCUGCUCCUACAUCUUAUCGUCUUAGAGUCUAAUGGUCUAAAUAGCCCUCAAAAGAAGAAAGCCACAUCUGAGAAAUUCUUUAGUGCUGCAUCUAUUUCACAGACAUGAACUCAAUUCCCAAGUAUUGAGUAUGGUAGUUGACAGUCAUGUAUAAUAUGCUUGAAGUGAAUGUUUCAUCUUCUGGUUGGUGCAGUAGGGACUUUUGUUGUCUGUCAAAUGUUUAGGUACAUUUUAAUAACAACUGCUUAUUUACAUACUAACAUUGUAUACAGUUAUUGAUCUACACUAGCUCAGAGUCUCUCCUCCAUGAGAUCUUUCCCUCUUAGGAGAAAGUGAGGUCUGCAGAUGCUGGAGAUCAGAACAACACAUUUCCAGCAUCUUUCCCUCUUAGUCAUAUAAUGUUACAUCAUCAUUACACCACAAUUCCAUAGGCUCAUGCUGUUAAACCAUGUUAGACCACACUACAUUUCACCCUUCCCCAUUCUUAUUUCUUGUUAUUUUCAAUAUGGUCCCAGAAGAUUCAAAGAGACAGUUUAAUAGCUUUCACCAAUCUGAUUUAUAUUGGCAUCUGAGGUUCAUGGUCUGUUGCACUCCUCCUUAACUCUGUUUGAGUGGCUCUUCCUUGGGCUUGCGUGGAGCUUUCAGAGAUUCCUCUGUCUUCUUCAGGAUCAAAGUAGUUUGACCCUGUUUGUACUGUUCUCUCUUAGGACAGUUUCUCCUUACAUCAUCUGAUGAUGAUUUCAUCAAUGAUCUUGGCUAUUCCAUCUCCUUAACAGCAAUUCCUUAUUUGCCGUAGGUCUUGGAUUCUACUGCUUUUCUGGCUGAAGAAUUGAUACUUCUCUUGCUUGACGGCAAUGAUGGAAGUUCCUGGUGUUUCACUCUUUGAACUUCUUCUUGUCUCACUUUAUCAUGGCCUUCCUCGGUAAUAUGAGGUUUUGAUUUCUUGGACAAUGUUCCAAACUGCACUUGUGGACUUCUCCCCAUUAAUAAUUCUUCUGGCAAUAAUUGAUCUUGCAAUGGUGACAAUCUAUGACUCAAUAGAGCCAAUUAUUCUUCUUCAGAAAUUUUACUAUGGGUCUGACUCCUCCUUUUGCUUCACCAUUUGGUUGUGGGUAAUUUGCUGAAAUUAUUAUGUGCCUGCAUCUAUGUUCCCACGGAAAUUCUGUAAAUAGCUCAUUUGUGAAUUGUUGUUCAUUGUCAGAUACCCCCAUGUCAGGACUAUUGUGAGUCACUCACUCACCAGACCAGAAAUGAAGAAAAGUCAACUCCAAGGAUGGGGAAUUUGAAAACAGAACUGUUAAGCUAAUAAUUACAUCCACCCAAAUGGAAGCAUUCCUGAAUGAGAAGACAUUGAAUAACUACCAGAGGAUGGAUGUACAAGUGAUUUAAAGAAAAGCUUCCAGUUUGUCCCAAGUCCCAAUCAAGCAGAAAUCUGGUGGAUUGAUGCUGAAGAUUUAUCCAAUAUUGCACUGCAUUGGGCGGCCUUACUGUGAAGUUGACAAGUAAGCAGGUCUGUACAGUAUUGUAUGGAAUGGGUGCCUAUACAGAUGGUAUGAUCGCCAGAGAGGGGGUCCACAAUAAAAGCAUCAUGCAUAAUGAAGUAAUAAAAACAUUUGAUGCCAUCUUCAACUUUCAAAAGUAUACAAUUGCUGAGCUGACUAAAUUUAACAUGUAGAUUCAACUGCAAUGGGAAAUCAUUGAUAGAUUUAUAAAUAAACUGUAUGGACGUGUGGAGUGAAUAUGGCUGCUUAAUAAAUAAUUAAUCCUGUUAAUAAAACUUUUUACCUGA